rnacentral:precursor_RNA from 7 species
GCCUGCUCCAUUGAGCGGUGUCUGUCCAGCGCCCUUUUUAUGUUGUACUACUAGUGAUCAUACACAAAGCAGUGCAAUGUUAAAAGGGCAUUGGCCAGCAGUGCUGUCUGCAGUGCUCCCU